UGUGGGAGGGGACAAAGCUGUACUUAUGACCUUCAUGACCGCUUCUGUCCUUUUCUCCCCAGC
rnacentral:pre_miRNA from 1 species